rnacentral:rRNA from 1 species
UGAGGAAUAUUGCGCAAUGGGGGCAACCCUGACGCAGCAACGCCGCGUGAGUGAGGAAGGUUUUCGGACCGUAAAGCUCUGUCGAGCGGGAAGAAAUGCAUGGUGGCUAAUAUCCAUCAUGCUUGACGGUACCGCUAAAGGAAGCACCGGCUAACUCCGUGCCAGCAGCCGCGGUAAUACGGGGGGUGCGAGCGUUGUUCGGAAUUAUUGGGCGUAAAGAGCGUGUAGGCGGCCGAAUAAGUCAGAUGUGAAAUCCCUGGGCUUAACCCAGGACGUGCAUUUGAAACUAUUCGGCUGGAGUAGGGUAGAGGAAAGUGGAAAUCCUGGUGUAGAGGUGAAAUUCGUAGAUAUCAGGAGGAACACCGGUGGCGAAGGCGACUUUCUGGCCCUAUACUGACGCUGAGACGCGAGAGCGUGGGUAGCAAACAG